rnacentral:rRNA from 1 species
GAUGAACGCUGGCGGCGUGCCUAAUACAUGCAAGUCGAGCGAACGGACGAGAAGCUUGCUUCUCUGAUGUUAGCGGCGGACGGGUGAGUAACACGUGGAUAACCUACCUAUAAGACUGGGAUAACUUCGGGAAACCGGAGCUAAUACCGGAUAAUAUUUUGAACCGCAUGGUUCAAAAGUGAAAGACGGUCUUGCUGUCACUUAUAGAUGGAUCCGCGCUGCAUUAGCUAGUUGGUAAGGUAACGGCUUACCAAGGCAACGAUGCAUAGCCGACCUGAGAGGGUGAUCGGCCACACUGGAACUGAGACACGGUCCAGACUCCUACGGGAGGCAGCAGUAGGGAAUCUGCCGCAAUGGGCGAAAGCAUGACGGAGCAACGCCGCGUGAGUGAUGAAGGUCUUCGGAUCGUAAAACUCUGUUAUUAGGGAAGAACAUAUGUGUAAGUAACUGUGCACAUCUUGACGGUACCUAAUCAGAAAGCCACGGCUAACUACGUG